rnacentral:rRNA from 1 species
GAUUAACGCUGGCGGCGUGCCUAACACAUGCAAGUCGAGCGGCAGCGAGUUUUACACUGAAUUCUGGAAGCUUCUAGUUGAAAGAGAAGAUUUAUUCAGGAAUUUUGUGUAAAAUGUCGGCGAGCGGCGGACGGCUGAGUAACGCGUGGGAACGUACCCCAAAGUGAGGGAUAACGCAUCGAAAGGUGUGCUAAUACCGCAUAUGGUCUUCGGAUUAAAGCCUUCGGGCGCUUUGGGAACGGCCUGCGUAAGAUUAGAUAGUUGGUGGGGUAAUGGCCUACCAAGUCGACGAUCUUUAACUGGUUUGAGAGGAUGAUCAGUCAGACUGGAACUGAGACACGGUCCAGACUCCUACGGGAGGCAGCAGUGAGGAAUCUUCCACAAUGGGCGAAAGCCUGAUGGAGCAACGCCGCGUGCAGGAUGAAGGCCUUCGGGUUGUAAACUGCUUUUAUAAGUGAGGAUUAUGACAGUAACUUAUGAAUAAGGAUCGGCUAACUACGUG